CUGUCAGUCUCCACUCUCCAUUGGACUUAGUCACUGGCCAUAUAGGACUAUUAAAGGGUGAGUGAGACUUGCUGAACACUCCCUGGCUCUCCAGUUCACGAAUCAUCUCAUGGAUAGGGAUGUUACAACUUAGAUGCAGAGAG